rnacentral:misc_RNA from 1 species
UCUCCGUAGGUGAACCUGCGGAGGGAUCAUUACUGAGUGAGGGCUCACGCCCGACCUCCAACCCUUUGUGAACACAUCUUGUUGCUUCGGGGGCGACCCUGCCGGCACUCUGUCGCCGGGCGCCCCCGGGGUCAAUCAAACACUGCAUUCUCUGCGUCGGAGUAUUAGUAAAUCUAAUCAAAACUUUCAACAACGGAUCUCUUGGUUCUGGCAUCGAUGAAGAACGCAGC